AGUGAACGCUGGCGGUAGGCCUAACACAUGCAAGUCGAACGGCAGCACAGUAAGAGCUUGCUCUUACGGGUGGCGAGUGGCGGACGGGUGAGGAAUACAUCGGAAUCUACUUUUUCGUGGGGGAUAACGUAGGGAAACUUACGCUAAUACCGCAUACGACCUACGGGUGAAAGCAGGGGAUCUUCGGACCUUGCGCGAUUGAAUGAGCCGAUGUCGGAUUAGCUAGUUGGCGGGGUAAAGGCCCACCAAGGCGACGGUCCGUAGCUGGUCUGGGAGGAUGAUCAGCCACACUGGAACUGAGACACGUUCCAGACUCCUACGGGAGGCAGCAGUGGGGAAUAUUGGACAAUGGGCGCAAGCCUGAUCCAGCCAUACCGCGUGGGUGAAGAAGGCCUUCGGGUUGUAAAGCCCUUUUGUUGGGAAAGAAAAGCAGCAGGUUAAUACCCCGCUGUUCUGACGGUACCCAAAGAAUAAGCACCGGCUAACUUCGUG
rnacentral:rRNA from 1 species